UUUAGAGCUAGACAGUAUUCCAAUAUUUUUUAAAGCUAGACAGUGUUCCAAUACUUUUCAAACUAGACAGUGUUCCAAUACUUUUGGAGCUAGAUGGCAUUCCAAUACUUUUAGAGCUACACAGUGUUCCAAUACUUUUGGAGCUAGACGGUGUUCCAAUACUUUUGGAGCUAGACGGUGUUCCAAUACUUUUUGAGCUAGACGGUGUUCCAAUACUUUUGGAGCUAGACAGAGUUCUAAUACUUUUAGAGCCAGACAGUGUUCCAAUACUUUAGGAGCUACUCAGCAUUCCAAUACUUUUAGGCUUCAGGCCAUGUGCACUCAGGUGUGUGAAUUUUGACAACUUGGCACCAUGAGGCACACAAACGCCAGCAUCCGAGCUGAGAUCCACAAAACCCUCGAGACCCAGGUUCCGAACAUUCCCUCAAUGUAAGAGAAUGGAAGUUUUUGGACAUUUUCGUCAUCAGCAACGGGAAUAACGGAGUUGGAAUCAAUUUGGAAAAAGAGAGCCUGACCAGUGUGAUCG
ensembl:lncRNA